rnacentral:rRNA from 1 species
ACUCCUACGGGAGGCAGCAGUAGGGAAUCUUCCACAAUGGGCGCAAGCCUGAUGGAGCAACACCGCGUGAGUGAAGAAGGGUUUCGGCUCGUAAAGCUCUGUUGUUAAAGAAGAACACGUAUGAGAGUAACUGUUCCAUACGUUGACGGUAUUUAACCAGAAAGUCACGGCUAACUACGUGCCAGCAGCCGCGGUAAUACGUAGGUGGCAAGCGUUAUCCGGAUUUAUUGGGCGUAAAGAGAGUGCAGGCGGUUUUCUAAGUCUGAUGUGAAAGCCUUUCGGCUUAACCGGAGAAGUGCAUCGGAAACUGGAUAACUUGAGUGCAGAAGAGGGUAGUGGAACUCCAUGUGUAGCGGUGGAAUGCGUAGAUAUAUGGAAGAACACCAGUGGCGAAGGCGGCUACCUGGUCUGCAACUGACGCUGAGACUCGAAAGCAUGGGUAGCGAACAGGAUUAGAUACCCUGGUAGGAUAGCG